UAAUAUAUGAUGAAUUUACUGUUUUUAGUAUACUACCUGUAUUUUCGAGGUUAGAUCAGUUUACAUAUACAGUAUAUAUAGAAAUAAGGCAUGUUUCUUUAUGCAAAAGUAAACCACAGAUAAAACUUGUAGCAGCUUCACUGAAUUUAGAGUUUAAUGGUUAUCCUAAGAAUUGAAAUCUAAUUUGGAAGGGAGAUUUGCACAGAUUCCCAUUGCUCUUACAACAAUCUUUAAUAUGUCGCCAUCAACACCAACCAGCAUACCCCUUCCCUUGCGGAAAAGCUCCACACCAGUAUCCGUUGGGUCAGUGGCCUAAUAAUUUGCUAAAGCAUGUUUUGAGAUUGCAGAUCAUUUAGGUUUUAUGAUAUUAAUGAGGAUAUGUGCUUAUUAGGGUUCCUGGGAAUAGUUGUUGAUAGAAACAAUCUGGAAGGAGUGAAAAAUGAUUUAACACACUCAGCAGGAGUACAGGAUUGGCCCAUUGCUGUGUGCUGCAAUUAAUUCUUAGUGUGCAGCAAAGCAGCUUGGUGGUGUAGCAUUGAGGCAGUUUAUUGCGGAAUUAGUGUGAUUUUGCGGCAUUUGUUGUGGUGUUAUACUAAAUGCUAAUUAGGCUCUACAACUAUAAUUAGAACCUUUCGCUAGACAGACCAAUUUAACUAGUACCACAGUAAGAGAUUAACACACACACGUACACAUGCUCACACACUCACAUACACACGUGAUAUCACACAUGCAUACACAAACAUCUCACCUUAUAAUUACACUUUUGCUAACCAUCAGACAAGACAAAUGUGGGGGUUGCAGGGGCUCUCAUCCCCUAAUACGUUAAUCACUCCUUUGUUCUUUUGAGCUUUUGGAGUGUGUGUGCGGUCUUACGGGGUAUUAUAUUGAGCACAGUGAGUUAGAAAAGUGUGUUAAACACAGAUAAAUACAGGUAGGAGUUGCUAUGACAUGGAAUACUUUGUUCAGUUACAGUUGGCAGGCCUACACUUCUGAAAAUUCUCUUGUUCAAACAGUAAAUGGUUUUUCUCAAUAGACCCUGGCACUUGCAUGCAAACAUGCACACAGAAGCUUCCCUCUCAGUGCAUGUAAUUGCUGGUGUUCAUCACUGUUGCUGUGUCCUAUAACACGGAAGAUCAGACUGCAACAUGCACAUCAUUCUGCAGCCUUGCCUGCCAGUCAGGCCUGCAUGUUGCCACAGCGUCAGAGGCAUGGCAUCCACCUUUGGCUUGCACAUAAAACCAGGGCAGCAUUCUUGCCUCUCACAGCAGACAUACUUCUCAAUCAUCCACUGACACACAGUUGGACAACGUUAAAACACAUAGCAGAACAAACCGACUCCAGUGGGUUGCAACACUCCAAAGAUGACUUUUGAUUUACUCUUUAUUAGUAGGAUAAAUAGUAAUUGUGUUUUUCUUGGAAGAAUGUCUGAGAUUAUAUCUCAAAAGGCCACAAACAGCUGAGACAGAACAACGUUCUCACAAUAAUCAAUUGGCAGGGUAGCAGCAGCAGCAGAGAGAGUGGCUACAGCUGUUCUCAUUGGAGAGGCCAUAUAUUAUACUUGGCGGCUUUGACAGCUUCUGAAGGAAAGGGCUGAAGGAUAUCAGGCAGGUGAAGCAACUGUAAAAAAAAUAUUAGGGAAUACAAACUGUUUCCAGGGAGUGUUAUAAACUGUACAGCAGGAGGAAAACAUUAUUGAAUUUUGGACUUUUGCUUCUAUUCCCCAAAACUGCUGUCAGAGCAGCUGACAUUAUUAAUGAUGCUCCCUUUCGAAACAUCAUGUUCAUUUGAUUAACUAAGUCAUAUGUUUUGCCACGCUAUCUGCAAUUUAUUUUCUUGUAUGUCCUCUUGCCUUUUUGGGGGGUAAGGGGAAUUGAGAUUUACCACCCGUCAGAUAAAUGUGUCCAGGUAAUAUAACACUGGGGAUAGAGUGACAGAGCUAUUUACUGCCUGCUUUAAAGUUUUAUAACUUGUCACAGUUUGCAACUUGUUGUGUGUGGCUCCCGAAUUUCUCGACACAGUGUCUGUAAAUAGAAAGUCAUACACAGAAAUGAUUACUCUUUUAAGAAGAGAGGCAUAGAAAGCAGGAACGGGUAACAGGAAAGCACAGUUAAUAGAGAAAUAAUGCACUAGUUGAUUGGCUCCAAAACUCCAAUAAUUUGCCAGCAAACAACAAAUGCAAUGCUGCAAUGUGACGUACCUAAACAAAUGUAAUACUUGAAAUCAUUUUUCAACUUUUAUAGAAAUAUAUGGAACAAGGUGAACAGUAUUGGCCUACCAUUUGUGCCACCUUACCUUGGUGACAUUUAAUCAUAGUUGUAUGGGAACUUUUCUCCAAAGUGAUGUGCAAACUGUUAGAAGUCAGUCAUGUCACCUGCUUACUGAAAGAUUGAUCACCAGCCUGCCAGCUGUGACUGCUGAUGAGUGACAAGUGAAAUGUGUCAUGUCACUUUCCAGCGACGUGUUUGUCAGGAAAAUGUUUGUGGCCAAACAGUUACUUUCUAGCUGUACUGUAAUAAGCAGUAAAAGCGAGAGAAAACUAGGGUUGUCUGCAGGUCCUUAAAAGCCUAACAUGUCUUAAAUUCAGCUUUACAAAUACCCCAAAUUCAUUAAAAUAAACCUCAUUGAAUAUAUUAGAUGUUAAUUUAUACAAAUACAGUUGUGUUUGUUUUUGGCGGAUUUAGGAGAAGAAGAAUAAAAGCGAGACUUAGAGCACUCAGUUCAUUGUCUCUCAUUUAAAAGGUUGGCAUUGUUUCUCCAUGUUCCCAGCGAGAGGCACAUGUUCUGCUCUGCUAUAAAUUCCAUUCCAUUUAUGAACAGAUUUCACUGGUCAACAAGACUGGUAAUCAACAAUCAGCAAACAUCUGUUACUAUCUAUUAAUAACACGGCAUUACAGAUUUACGGCUGGCCCGAUAGCUGCUGAAAAUGUAUUCCUGCCGCUGACGAGGGGCAGCUUGGAACGGGCGGCCAAUGCCAUUUGUAAAUGUGAGACAAAUUAGAGAGCAGGAGACAACUAAAUUAAAAAGCCAAAUGACCGAGGCCAGAUGGAGCUCAAUAUAACAAAUGGAACAAGUUGUGGAGGUGCCAGUUGUACAGACGCUGAGGGACACUGUGGGGGAAUUGAUUCAGGAGAGCCAUUGGGUGAGCAGAUGAAAAGGUUAUAUUAACACUUACAGGAGGCAGAAAGUAGGCCUCUGUGCCCUCCAGCUUUAUGUUGCAGUCAUUCACACAUAUGGACGCUGCUGUCCACAUCAUCUUUUAAACGGUGUUGUGUGAAUGUCAGUGUGAGAAAUAAACACAGUUAGUGUUGCUCUCAGUGCGUCUGACAUAGGGCAUAUUGUCAGCACUUGAAAUCCUACUGUCAAAUUACAUGUCUUUAUUCAGAUAUUACCUGACCUUGGUUUUCCUCAUGCACGGCAAUACUCCGUGCAGCGCCCUAUGUAGGCUAUAAAAAGUUUUCCUAUUAUAUACCUGUAAAAUGGCAUGAUAUAAACCUUAUUAUCUAUUAAUAGGCUUGUCAUAUGAUGCCACUUUGGCCAGAAAUAAAGUGUUUGAUAUUAACAUAAUAUAAUGUUCAUCAAGGCAGUGCACAGUAUGGCAAAUGUUUCUUCUUUUGGGUUGUUCGCUGGUGAUGCAUCACACCUGCAGCUCUCCAGGUUAAGACACAUGAGCACAUUUGUAUCUUGCAAAUGGGUAUGCAACGCUGGGGUGAGGAACACAUUUGCUUGGGUUAAAGACUGCAUGUUAAUGAAAUAGAUCAUGAACAUUGCCAUUAUGAUAAUGGAUUACAGCACUUUCCUUGUGGUGUAAUAUUUUAUUUAUGACCUUUUUGGAUUACUUAGAUGAAAAGGGAAACAUAAAAUGUAGACAGUGUUCUGCUCCAUGGCCCUUUUUCCAAACACAAAACAACCAGUAUUUACUGAACACAUUUUUCGCCUUGGCGUGUGAGGAUCAGGGAGUUUGAGUGGGAGAUUAGCUUUGGGUUAAUGAAGUCUGGAGUCGGGAGAGAAAUGGUUAUUGCUCUGUAAUGUAGAGUCUUUUAAUUUCCACUGUGGCAGUCAGGCCUAAUGUGUUAUUUUACAUUCUGUUUUAGAUUGCACAAAGUGGUCACUGCUAUUUGUCUUACUCAUUUAAAUCACCAUUAUUCAGAUGUAUUAGGAGAUGAUACAUUAGGCUGCACUCAAUGCUACUUGCCUUCCUGGUUACUGAAUAAUAAAAUAUUCCUCACCAGAGACAGUAACACAGCAGUAAUAUUCUCCUUAAAGCCGCAGUCUUUUUCUUCCUCCAUGACAUACAUAAGCUGUUAACACAAAAAAUGCCACCAUUUGUUUCUUUAAUCUCUGCCUUUUAUCCUUUUUUCUGCUCUUCAGGCAUCAUUAUGGGAAUCUCUCUUUUCAUCACUCACUCGAAAUCCCAUUUUUGUUUUUCUGUAGGAGAUUUCCUCCUGUGCAGUUACUUACAGUGGCCCUCUCCUUACCUCUUGCUUCUGAUAAAGGAAGCAGGAACUGACAGGGGCUAUUUGUUAUGGGGAUGAGACAGGGGUGACACACACUAGAUUAUAAAAUGCAGAGACGUGCAGAGGUCAGAUAAACAAUUUGCCACCAAACUUGGCUACCCAGGAUGCUCUCUGCUCCCCGUCUGCUCAAUAUCAGAAGGGGAGGGAAGAGGAGGGGAUCCACGGUUCUAAAGGAAGGAAGGAAGGUGGGUAGGAUCAUGUGAAUAAGGAAGGGGGGUCAGAGGAGCACAAAGGAACAGUGAGAGAGCCCCCCUGGGCUGAUGGCAGUCAGGUUUGCAUUUUUUUUUUUUUCUCCCUCUCUGGGUUAAUUCGCGGGAUGAAAAGCUGCUCUGUGUGAUGUGUCAUAUAUCAAAGACAGGGCAUCAGUAAUCUUUGCUCAAGGGCACAGAUAACAGACAGAUAGACAUGUGAAUGAGAUGAAAAAAAAGCAACUCAUCCUUUUCUGCUACCACCACGGAGGAGAUAAAACAAGAUUUAUGACUCAUCUCAGACCACAUACCGGCUGUGCGGACCAUUUUUCACAUGCUCCAAAAAUUGGUACUGGAAAGCAAUCUGCUUGUCAGUGUGUCCAUCAGGUGCUUCAGGAGGAAAUUGGGUCCUUCGGGCUUUUUGCUCUGCAGUCAGCUAUUUUCUUUAUAGCAGUUUUGUUUUUAAUGGUAUCCAUAAAUAUAUGUAGGGUUAUAAGUACCUUUAUCACCCAAGGAGCUUUUCCACAUGAUGUGGCCCACUGUGCUCUGGUGGUUGUUUCUGAACUGAGAGCUUCCUCUGUGUGGACACUAUAAUCCAAAGAGCUGCAGAGUUGUCACUAUGUUGACGGACAGUGAUAAGAUGGUGUGACAACUCCCUUGUUGAGUUUGAUUGACAGAAAUCUGCUUUGAUAGGCAACCAAAUCACUUUUGUCCAGCCAAUCAUCUCAGAUUGAGCUGGGCAAAAGUAAAACCUGCAGUGGAGGAGAGUGAACAAAGUGACGGCAUGAUAUCGGUUAUCUGUAAACAUAUCACAACUUGCUAAAUAUUACAACUACAGAUAGAAGCUGCAGUAGUGGUCUCUAGCCACUGUAAAGCAAUGUGAUGGUUCUAGAGCAUUUAAAUAGACCACUUUAUAUUAUGUACAUAUAAGUACUUUGCACCUUAGGUAAACCAGCUGGUAAAUGCUUCAUUGCACAAUAUUAAAACAGUGAAACCUACUCUUAACACACGGAAUGGCACAAGCAAAUAAACAGCCGCAGUCAGCAGUCUCAAUGAUGCUAUUCAUACUGACAGUGAGCAUCAGGAUAAAAAUAGGGUGUCCAAAUCAUGUCCAAACCCUUCCUUCCAAAAAGUUACAGACCAAAAUUCCUCUCACAGCAAUACUAUAUGAUACUCCAGACAAUGUUAUAGAAAGCCAGUAAAGAUAAGAUAUGAAUACUUUUGAAUAUUUUAUAGACUGGAUAAUGUUAAAAUUCUGAAUGAAAACAGUCAACAUUGGCCGUCCUGUUAAUACAAACUGCAAGUUGAUGGUUGGCUUGCAGUAAAAAUCUGCACAUUUAGUAUCAUGCUCUGUGUAUAAUAAUCUGCAGCAGUGCAUCAACAAUUUGUAGCUUUUGCAAUUAAACACAUUUUAUAAUACUAGAAGUUUACUUUUAAUAUUAAGAGUAGUCUUAACGGUAGAUCAACAGGUAGUAAUAAAUUGCAGCUGCUACAUACAGCAGAUGUAUAGCAUUGGCUUCUACUGCUUGGCUGUGUGAUUUUUCAAGUGCUUCCUGGCUGCCAUGUUGGAAUGGGGUAUUAGAGUGGCCCUGCUGUGCAUGGAGUGUUGAUAGCACUGGGAGCUGCAUGACUCUGUCUGUUAUGGAUCGGGUUGCACUUGGGGAAACAUUUGAAGGCUCCUCUGGGCUUUCACAGAGCAGAAGUUUUCCUGGGGACAGAAGGAUCAGCUUAAAGCAACAGGCUUGUUGACUUUGAUAUCCUAUCUGAUACCACCACUUCCACAAGUUUACACCCCUGCAAACAGGCCUGACAUUAGAAUAUCCUCAUUUGUGCAAGCAAGGGAUUUGGCCCACCGCAGGGGGUUUGAGGUUUGUGUUUCGGCCUGUCGUAGAUGAGCGAAGGUUUCCAUAAUUUGGCUGGUGUUCCCUCUUGCACCAGACCAGCCUGUGAGAAUGAGAAACAGGCCAAGGAGAGGGGAGGGCACAAAUACCUGCCCAGCACAGCAGGCAGAUGUUCUAUGAGGGUCAUUGUGAGUUGCAGCAAGGGAAAGAGGACAGACUGAUGUAAAACAUACACUUGUUUUGCACAUUGUCACGUUCGCCUCUUGUCUCCUGUUGCCUCUUGAGCUCUGUCCUACCUGCUGUUCCUGUCUAGACGACUUGCCAACUGUGACAUCUGUUCUAAGAUGAAAGCAUAGGCAAAAUCUGAAUGUCAAUAUCCUUGCUGUGGACAGACAAAAUGAACAAACGGAAGAGUGUCUGUCACUGUGCGGCAAUCAUCCUUCAAAUGAAAGGUUACCGCACCACAUUGUGUGCUGGAGAAAUGACCAUUUUUAAUCAGACAGCAGGGGACACAUCUGUCAGAAGCUCAGUAAAGCUGCAGUUAGGAGCCAAGGAGAGCAGAGACUGAUCAGUACAAAUCAUUUCCCCUUUCCCCCCACUGACAAAACAGGCCUAAAUGUGGAAAGGCCACCAGGGAAUUAAAUAUGACUUUUCUAAGGUUAUGCUUAAGAUGCUAAGAUGAUAAAGUGAGGAGGUUUACAGGAGACUGAUAAGAGAUUACAUUAGGCAGUGUGGAUGCUGUCUAAAUAAGCUUUUUAACUAGGAUGAGGCAUAUCAGCUGCAGUAACCUCAUGUAAAGGCUGGAUUUAAGGAGCACAUGUUAAAGAAAAGAGCAUAAGUUAAUAAAUUACACUCUUAGUCAAA